AUGACGGCCAUAAUUAUUUUUUUGCCCCUGUUAGUAUCAUCAGGUUUAUCGGUUACAGUGCUUCAGUCUUCAGAUCAGAUUUCUCGCUCCGGUUCUGCAGCGUCGUUGGAGUGCAGAAUGGGUGCAGGAUAUUCCAUGAGCAGCUACACCAUGGCCUGGUACCGACAGACCCUCCAUGGAGCUCAAAUAGAGUUUCUUCUGGCAGAAUACGAUGAAAAUAUUGACCGCUACCAGUCAUCACUCGAAACAAAGAAUAACAAGUUUUAUCUAAACAUUCCAGAGCUCAGUGUGAAUGAUAGCAGCACCUACUACUGUGCUGCUCGUCACAGUCUAAAUGGAAGAAUCACCUCUGAGCAAAACAAAAACAAAACAGAAAAGCUACCUCUACCCGAUGCCUGUGCUAAUCAGUACCCUAUUGUUUCCUCUUUGUCUCAGCAGCUCCACACACCCUGUUUUUCACCUGCCAUGGCCAGGCUGGCCUAG